UUUAGCCUCUCUGAUGUCUUUACUUGAAAGAGCCCCAGCAUAGGCUUUGCCUGGAGUCACUGGAGUCACGAAAGACUUGACUUGACUGGUAAGAAGUCAGAAGAUCAAGGAUCUCACUUGCAGUUACCAAGGAGAGAGAUAAACAAUAGAACAACAAAAUUCAUACUGCAUUCCCAGUACUGUUUGAGCAGUAACACUGUCCCCACAUCCCAAAAGGCUAAGGACUUCGAAAGGAAGAGAAUAACAGACUCUGGAGAAGUGAAUGACCGUGACAGAAGGCAGACUUAAGAAUGGGCACCUCUGAAAGCUAAGGUUGACUCCAUCCACACACCCUCCAAGGCUCCUGUGAAAGAGUUGGAGAAGGAUUGAGGACACCAGAGGAGAUGACAACUCCACAGGAAGACCAACAGAGUCAACUAACCUGGGCCCUUGGGGGCUCCCUGAGACUGAACUACCAAUCAGAGAGCAAGCAUGGGCUGGACCCCAACCCCCUCCCCACCACACAUAUGUAGUGGAUAUGCAACUG
rnacentral:lncRNA from 1 species